GAUGAAGAACGUAGCGAAAUGCGAUACUUGGUGUGAAUUGCAGAAUCCCGUGAACCAUCGAGUCUUUGAACGCAAGUUGCGCCCGAAGCCACUAGGCCGAGGGCACGCCUGCCUGGGCGUCACACGCCGUUGCCCCCCCAUCUACUCCUUCGGGAUUGCGGGGGGGCGGAUGAUGGCCUCCUGUGCGCCUAGCCGCGCGGUUGGCAUAAAUACCAAGUCCUCGGCGACGCACGCCACGACAAUCGGUGGUUGCGAAACCUCGGUUGCCCGUCGUGUGCGUUCGUCGCGCAUCGAGGGCUCGAAAAAAUGCUCGGCUCCGGCUGGGCUUUCAACGCGACCCCAGGUCAGGCGGGGUUACCCGCUGAAUUUAAGCAUAUCAAUAAGAGGAGGA
rnacentral:misc_RNA from 1 species